rnacentral:rRNA from 1 species
GACGAACGCUGGCGGCGUGCCUAAUACAUGCAAGUAGAACGCUGAAGGAGGAGCUUGCUCUUCUGGAUGAGUUGCGAACGGGUGAGUAACGCGUAGGUAACCUGCCUGGUAGCGGGGGAUAACUAUUGGAAACGAUAGCUAAUACCGCAUAACAGUAGAUGUUGCAUGACAUUUACUUAAAAGGUGCAAUUGCAUCACUACCAGAUGGACCUGCGUUGUAUUAGCUAGUUGGUGGGGUAACGGCUCACCAAGGCGACGAUACAUAGCCUACCUGAGAGGGUGAUCGGCCAAAAUGGGACUGAGACACGGCCCAGACUUCUACGGGAGGCAGCAGUAGGGAAUCUUCGGCAAUGGACGGAAGUCUGACCGAACAACGCCGCGUGAGGGAAGAAGGUUUUCGGAUCGUAAAGCUCUGUUGUAAGAGAAGAACGAGUGUGAGGGUGGAAAGUUCACACUGUGACGGUAUCUUACCAGAAAGGGACGGCUAACUACGUG